GUUUUUCUCCAACUCUCCAUCCAAUCGACGCUGAUCGGUCGCCGGCUCGUCGCCGGCAGAAGACAUCCGUGUCUCCCUUGCAGGAGGUAUGUUCUCAUCUCCCUCUCUUUCUCUGAUCUCUCUUCUCCAUCUCCUUCUCUGAAUUCUGUACGUAGGUGUUUUAGGUUCAGAUUUUAAGAUUAGAUCAGUUUGACGAAUCUGUUUUCCUAGUCUCCUCCUUCUACCGUGCAGAUCGGCCAUGUCUAUUAGGUCUUCUUCAGUUAGAAGUGACGCAGGUAGUGGAGGUAGCGUGGAUGCAGUCCAUGUAUUGGCUGCUGCUCGUGUGAUUCCGGAAGAUGAUAAUGAGAAGAAGCCUUUGUGUAGGUACGUCCAGAUGUUGGAAAAUACUGGGAAAGGGAAAGGAGGCAACAAGAGAUCCAUGCAGUAUUUGUUAAGCAAUUGUGAAGACUUCAAUUUUUUUAAUAAAACAGUGCAUUUCCUAAAAAAAGACUCGUUAUUUUUUCAUAUAUUUAAUAAUUAAU
rnacentral:lncRNA from 1 species